rnacentral:rRNA from 1 species
UACGGAUGAUGCGAGCGUUAUCCGGAUUUAUUGGGUUUAAAGGGUGCGUAGGCGGAUUGAUAAGUCAGUGGUGAAAUUCUACAGCUUAACUGUAGACUUGCCGUUGAUACUGUUAGUCUUGAGUGUGGUCAAGGCAGUCGGAAUGUGUAAUGUAGCGGUGAAAUGCUUAGAUAUUACACAGAACACCGAUUGCGAAGGCAGCUUGCUGGGUCAUUACUGACGCUGAUGCACGAAAGCGUGGGGAUCAAA